rnacentral:rRNA from 1 species
AUGGAGGAAGCUUCGGUGCCCCUGCGCACGUCGGUGGCCGGCGGAUUGACUUGGGCGGCGGCGGCUUGCCUUGCGGAUGAGGUGCGGGAAGGAGAGGAUGCACUUCGCGCUCCAGAGCGGGUCGUUGAGGUCGGCGCCGUGGGCUUCGAGCUCUGUGGCCAGCCCGCCGUCCAGCACCAGCCUCCCGCCGCCGGCCUCCACCCACCGCUGCACCGCCGCGCCCGCGGCCCCCUCCUUCGCGUCGUUGCCGCCUCCGCUCUUCACCACCAUCCUCCUCCUGCCGCUGCCGCUGCUACAGGACUGGAUGUGCUCGCCGUGCUGGGCCUCGAAGGAAGGACUGGAUUGCUUUUUUGGAAGAAAACUAGGGACCCGAUUGCUUUUUUAGCCCGCUUAUGUGUGGGCCAACUCUGUCAGAAACGCGUUUAA